CCCCCACAACAUGCAACAAAUACCAACCCCACACUACUUAGAAAACGAACCCCCAACAAGAUUACCUCGAAGACCAUGAGCACCACAAGAAUCCAUCGAAUCAACAAGCAGUUGCGGACGCAAUUUCCAUGGUGCUACUCUUCUUUGUUUUGCUGCUGAGGGCCGCCUCCACAUUCAUCUUUCCAGAUCCAGGACUAACCUUCUACAGACAUGUGAGCAAAUUGUGAUGCUCAAUCUCAUCGUCCUCGUCACGCACAGACAUCACCUGUCGGACGACCACACACGAGUAGGUGACGCAACAUCAGAAUUCCACACUUAACAAAGACGAGUGGUUGGCUAGGCAUCAAAGGAUAAAGCACCAACAUACCGGCCAACUCAACAUCAUCAACCAUGGAUACCACUGACACAAUGGAAUCACGCACCUCAAGUUGCCCACAUGACAUAUGAGAAUCAUAUCCCUCACAUGAGGUCGCUAGCGAGUCGACCUCCAUAUGCUUUUGGAGACACUAUUGGUUCUGAGAGAAUGGUGGAGUUGUUUGGCAUGUGGUUGCCGAACCUUUACACGUGUCAUCCUCCGUGUCCACCGGUUGUGGUUUAAACACUAGGCUAACUUUUUUUGCUCGCCCCACAACUAGCUAAGAAAAAUUGGCUAUCAUUUUAUGUUUAAAAAUGUUAGUUUAACAAAAUAUAUUCAAGGAUUUUAAAACUUAUUGUUACUGGGAACGUCGCAUGGGAAACAAAAAAUUUCCUACGCACACAAAAGAUGUAUCAAUGGUGAUGACCAUCUACGAGAUGGGAAAGUGCAUCUACAUACCAUUGUAGAUCGCCGAGCGGAAGCGUAUAUAAUGCAGUUCAUGUAGUGGAACAUCUUCGCGACCCAAAUCGCAGACCGUCCCACGAUCUCAUCACGAACCGUCCCAUGAUCCCAUCACGAUCCAGUGCCGAACGGAUGAAACCUCCACGUUCUGCACAUGUAUAGCUUGAUGACGUUCACCGCCUUCUUGAUCCAACAAGACGGGCAGAGAGGUAGAUGAGUUCUCCAGAACGACGGUGUGGUGGUGGUGAUGGUGAACUGAUCCAGCAUGGCUUCACCAAGCUAUGCCGAACUAAUCUAGACGAGGGAGACAAUGUGUGGAGGAGAGGGCAGCACGCGGCU
rnacentral:lncRNA from 1 species